CAUCCUCCAAGGCUAAAUACUCCUGACUGACCGAUAGUGAACCAGUACCGUGAGGGAAAGGCGAAAAGAACCCCGGCGAGGGGAGUGAAAAAGAACCUGAAACCGUGUACGUACAAGCAGUGGGAGCCCCACCACUAAGCCAGUGGUGAACUCCACAUACGCAUCCUUUGCUGAGGAUACGGUUAACGGAGCGAAAGCGACGUUCAACCGCAAAAGAAGCAGAGGGGGCUUAGUGGUGGGGUGACUGCGUACCUUUUGUAUAAUGGGUCAGCGACUUAUAUUCUGUAGCAAGGUUAACCGAAUAGGGGAGCCGUAGGGAAACCGAGUCUUAACCGGGCGUUAAGUUGCAGGGUAUAGACCCGAAACC
rnacentral:rRNA from 2 species